UGCGUAGGUGGUCUAUUAAGUUGGAUGUGAAACCCCCGGGCUUAACCUGGGAACUGCAUCCAAUACUGGAAGACUAGAGUGCAGGAGAGGAAAGCGGAAUUCCUAGUGUAGCGGUGAAAUGCGUAGAUAUUAGGAGGAACACCAGUGGCGAAGGCGGCUUUCUGGACUGUAACUGACACUGAGGCACGAAAGCGUGGGUAGCAAACAG
rnacentral:rRNA from 1 species